UACGGAGGAUGCGAGCGUUAUCCGGAUUUAUUGGGUGUAAAGGGAGCGUAGGCGGCGGGGCAAGCCUGAUGUGAAAGCCCGGGGCUCAACCCCGGGACUGCAUUGGGAACUGCCCUGCUGGAGUGCCGGAGGGGCAGGCGGAAUUCCUAGUGUAGCGGUGAAAUGCGUAGAUAUUAGGAGGAACACCAGUGGCGAAGGCGGCCUGCUGGACGGUGACUGACGCUGAGGCUCGAAAGCGUGGGGAGCAAACAGG
rnacentral:rRNA from 1 species